rnacentral:lncRNA from 1 species
GUGAAGGCUAUAAAAGGGAGUCGAUGAUGAAGGCUAGAGGCAUUCUCUUCCAUUCCUCCUCUUCCCCACCAGGGGAGGGGGCUGCUCCCUUUAUCCCUUCUUCCUCACCGAAGGGAGUCGGCAGAGCAUCCUGGGAGAACAGGGGAGAAGCCAAGUUCCCACGAAAAAAAUAAAAAAAAAGAGAAAAGAGAGGGAGAGAAUACUUUGUGAUAUUUUGGGAAUAGAGAGAGUGGGAUGGAAGGAAAAGAUUUUUAUAUGAAGAUGGAAGCCUGNNNNNNNNNNNNNNNNNCCAUCUACCACUCCAUGGAAGGCUGAUCUUCUCUCUAGAGCUGGAUGCAGCCCUAACAAAGGGACACGGGUUUUAUAUUUUUAAUUUUAUAUUCUUGGAGUUGUAUGAACUUAUUAUUUUUAAUGAAUAUCUUCUUUUAUUUCAUGUUUAAUUUCUGUGAUUUUAAAUAUGAAGUUUAUACAACUGUUCUUCAUGGUCAUUGAAGUAAAAAUAAGAUAGUCCAUGCUUAAGGAAGAUGCGAUGUGUUGCCACCUUAAAUUAGGGUAGACAUUUCAUGCUAACUAAAGAUGGAUUAUGCCUAAAUUACUUUUGUGAGAUUUUAUUCAAAUGCUUAUUAGGCUUGUAGCCAAUUUGCAUGUUAAUCCAAGAAUGAAUUAAAAUACAAAUAAUCCUUGUUCCGAUGUUAGUGGUGAAUUUCUUGCCCUAGAUUUCCUUAAACUGAUAUCCCUUUAAUUGCAUUUUCUUUUAUUAAAUUGCUUAGUUUAAUAGUCUUCACAAAUUCAUCCUUUUAAAUAUUUUUAUUUUUAAGAAAACAACUAUACCCCAAUCCCUGUAGAUCGAUACCCGUAAUCACUAUCUUACUAGAUACGUGCUAUUGCGUGGUCUUUAAAGUUGACUAUCAAUCAAGUUCCAUCAAUUGGGUCAAACUCAAUCUACUUGGGUUGAACCCAAUCCAAUUAGGUCAAACCCUGAUGCAGCCCAAAUUGAAUCCUAUUCAAUUUGGCUCAACCUAAGCCCAAUUACUCAAUCAAAUUGAGUUCAUUAGCAAUCUAAUUGCUAAUUAAUCCUUCAAUAAUUUAAUAGUUAUUUUAUUGCAACUU